CGAUCAGUAGGGGUUCUGAGAGGAAGGUCCCCCACAUUGGAACUGAGACACGGUCCAAACUCCUACGGGAGGCAGCAGUGAGGAAUAUUGGUCAAUGGACGAGAGUCUGAACCAGCCAAGUAGCGUGCAGGAAGACGGCCCUAUGGGUUGUAAACUGCUUUUAUAAGGGAAUAAAGUGAGUCUCGUGAGACUUUUUGCAUGUACCUUAUGAAUAAGGACCGGCUAAUUCCGUGCCAGCAGCCGCGGUAAUACGGAAGGUCCGGGCGUUAUCCGGAUUUAUUGGGUUUAAAGGGAGCGUAGGCCGGAGAUUAAGCGUGUUGUGAAAUGUAGAUGCUCAACAUCUGAACUGCAGCGCGAACUGGUUUCCUUGAGUACGCACAAAGUGGGCGGAAUUCGUGGUGUAGCGGUGAAAUGCUUAGAUAUCACGAAGAACUCCGAUUGCGAAGGCAGCUCACUGGAGCGCAACUGACGCUGAAGCUCGAAAGUGCGGGUAUCGAACAGGAUUAGAUACCCUGGUAGUCCGCACGGUAAACGAUGGAUGCCCGCUGUUGGUCUGAAUAGGUCAGCGGCCAAGCGAAAGCAUUAAGCAUCCCACCUGGGGAGUACGCCGGCAACGGUGAAACUCAAAGGAAUUGACGGGGGCCCGCACAAGCGGAGGAACAUGUGGUUUAAUUCGAUGAUACGCGAGGAACCUUACCCGGGCUUGAAUUGCAGAGGAAGGAUUUGGAGACAAUGACGCCCUUCGGGGCCUCUGUGAAGGUGCUGCAUGGUUGUCGUCAGCUCGUGCCGUGAGGUGUCGGCUUAAGUGCCAUAACGAGCGCAACCCCUCUCCUUAGUUGCCAUCAGGUCAUGCUGGGCACUCUGGGGACACUGCCACCGUAAGGUGUGAGGAAGGUGGGGAUGACGUCAAAUCAGCACGGCCCUUACGUCCGGGGCUACACACGUGUUACAAUGGCAGGUACAGAGAGACGGUCCCUUGCAAAAUGGAUCAAAUCCUUAAAGCCUGUCUCAGUUCGGACUGGGGUCUGCAACCCGACCCCACGAAGCUGGAUUCGCUAGUAAUCGCGCAUCAGCCAUGGCGCGGUGAAUACGUUCCCGGGCCUUGUACACACCGCCCGUCAAGCCAUGAAAGCCGGGGGCGCCUAAAGUCCGUGACCGUAAGGAGCGGCCUAGGGCGAAACUGGUAAUUGGGGCUAAGUCGUAACAAGGUAGCCGUACCGGAAGGUGCGGCUG
rnacentral:rRNA from 1 species